rnacentral:rRNA from 1 species
AGCAGUGGGGAAUAUUGGACAAUGGGCGAAAGCCUGAUCCAGCCAUGCCGCGUGUGUGAAGAAGGUCUUCGGAUUGUAAAGCACUUUAAGUUGGGAGGAAGGGCAGUGAGCGAAUACCUUACUGUUUUGACGUUACCGACAGAAUAAGCACCGGCUAACUCUGUGCCAGCAGCCGCGGUAAUACAGAGGGUGCAAGCGUUAAUCGGAAUUACUGGGCGUAAAGCGCGCGUAGGUGGUUCGUUAAGUUGGAUGUGAAAUCCCCGGGCUCAACCUGGGAACUGCAUUCAAAACUGACGAGCUAGAGUAUGGUAGAGGGUGGUGGAAUUUCCUGUGUAGCGGUGAAAUGCGUAGAUAUAGGAAGGAACACCAGUGGCGAAGGCGACCACCUGGACUGAUACUGACACUGAGG